GACGAAGGGGGCUAGCGUUGUUCGGAAUUACUGGGCGUAAAGCGUGUGUAGGUGGUUGUCAUAGUCAGGCGUGAAAGCCUUGAGCUCAACUCAAGAAAUGCGCUUGAUACUGGGCAGCUAGAGGACCGGAGAGGAUAGUGGAAUUCCCAGUGUAGUGGUGAAAUACGUAGAGAUUGGGAAGAACACCAGUGGCGAAGGCGGCUAUCUGGACGGUACUGACGCUGAGACGCGAAAGCGUGGGGAGCGAACAGG
rnacentral:rRNA from 1 species